rnacentral:rRNA from 1 species
GGACGAACGCUGGCGGCGUAGCUUAACACAUGCAAGUCGAACGAGGAUACAGGAGAGCUUGCUUGAAUGUAUUCGAGUGGCGGACGGGUGAGUAACGCGUGAGCAACCUGUCUCACACAGGGGAAUAACGCAUCGAAAGAUGUGCUAAUACCGCAUAGGACCACGGAGUCGCAUGGCUUUGAGGUGAAAGGAGGAAUCCGGUGUGAGGUGGGCUCGCGUCUGAUUAGAUAGUUGGUGAGGUAACGGCCCACCCAAGUCAACGAUCAGUAGCCGACCUGAGAGGGUGAUCGGCCACAUUGGGACUGAGACACGGCCCAGACUCCUACGGGAGGCAGCAGUGGGGAAUAUUGGGCAAUGGGCGGAAGCCUGACCCAGCAACGCCGCGUGAAGGAAGAAGGUUUUCGGAUCGUAAACCUCUGUCCUUGGUGAAGAGAGAGAGACGGUAGCCAAGGAGGAAGCCCCGGCUAACUACGUGCC